GUAGAGGGUUAUAAAGAGGUAGAGGGUUGUAAAGGGGUAGAGCGGGGUGUAAAGGGGUAGAGAGGGGUGUAAAGGGGUAGAGGGGUGUAAAGGGGUAGAGAGGGGUGUAAAGUGGUAGAGGGGUAGAGAGAGGCGUAAAGGGAUAGAGGGUUGUAAAGGGGUAGAGAGGGGUGUAAAGGGGUAGAGGGGUAGAGAGGGGUGUAAAGGGGUAGUGAGGGGUGUAAAGUGGUAGAGGGGUAGAGAGGGGUGUAAAGGGGUAGAGUGGAGUAAAGGGGUAGAGGGGUAGACAGGGGUGUAAAGGGGUAGAGGGUUGUAAAGGGGUAGAGAGGGGUGUAAAGGGGUAGAGAGUGGUGUAAAGGGGUAGAGAGGGUUGUACAGCCAGAAGAGGACUGGCCACCCCACAU
ensembl:lncRNA